rnacentral:rRNA from 1 species
AAAGUCUGACCUGCCCUAUGAAUUUUUAAAUGGCCGCAGUACUUUGACUGUGCAAAGGUAGCAUAAUAAUUAGUUUUUUAAUUGAGAACUGGUAUGAAAGGUUUGACGAGGGAAAGACUGUCUCAAUUUAAUUUAAAUUAGAAUUUUAUUUUUAAGUAAAAAAGCUUAAAUAACUUUAAAAGACGAGAAGACCCUAUAGAAUUUUAUAUUUAUAUAGAUAUUUAAAAGUGUAAGAAUUUUAGGUUUAAGUAUCUAUAGACAUAUUUGGUUGGGGCAACUAAAAAAUUGAAUAAACUUUUUUUAUAAUUAAACCAUUGAUAUAUGAGUAAG